AUGGAGGAGACGCCGCCGCAGCCUCAGGCGGCGCACGCAUCUCCUCCGUUCCCGGCGAUCUUCACCCCUCCGAGCGCUCUCUCCUCGACGUCCUUGCGGGGCAGCCCCACCGUCCCCAGCCCCGCGCACUUCAGCACGCCACCGGGCCCGCCCGUCUUCUCCUCGCCGCUUCGCCCCGCCACCGUGCCAUUCCGCACCACCCCGAUCUCCCCUCAGGCGGUACCCUUCGCCUCCCGCACCGCCUCCUCAUCGUCCUCCGUCUCCCUCCCCACAUCCUCCGCGCCGCACACCAUGAACGGCGCGGCCACCCCUCACAGCCACGUGCCCUCUGUGGCGCCGUCUCUGGAGGACUCCAGCAUCGACUCCCCAUACGUCCUCUUCUCUGCCCGCAAGGUCCUGAAGCAGAAGAAACUGCUGAAUGCCCCUAGCUUGGGGUUCGGAGCCCUUGUUUCACCAGGGAGGGAGGUACCGCCAGGUCCCGAAGCCUUGGAGCGUGAUCCCCGCCGGUGUCUGAACUGUGGGGCUUAUGUGAAUUUGUACUGUGACGUGUUGAUUGGCUCUGGGCAAUGGCAGUGUGUCAUUUGCAAAAAGCUGAACAGCAGUGAGGGGGAAUUUGUGGUCUCCAGCAAGCAGGACCUGGUUCAGUGGCCAGAGCUCGUGUCCUCGACUGUCGAUUAUGUGCAUCCAGGGAGUAGGCGGCCAGGCUUGAUCCCGGUGCCUGUCUUGAGGGUCUCUGGUCCCAUUUUUAUUCUCAUAGAUGAGUGUCUUGAUGAGGCGCACCUGCAGCAUCUACAGGGCUCCUUGCAUGCAUUUGUGGAUUCACUCCCUCCUACAGCAAGGAUUGGAAUCAUCUCCUUUGGUAGAACUGUCUCUGUGUAUGAUUUUUCGGAAGGUGCGGCGGUGUCAGCGGAUGUGCUACCCGGUAGUAAGUCGCUUGCCCAAGAGUCAUUGAAGGUGCUAAUCUACGGGACAGGGGUGUAUUUGUCUCCUAUACAUGCUUCGCUGCCUGUUGCACACACAAUAUUCUCAUCCCUGAGACCCUAUCAGUUUAGUGUGGCGGAAGUAUCGAGGGACCGAUGCCUUGGUGCAGCGGUGGAGGUUGCCCUUGGUAUUAUUCAAGGGCCGUCAGCGGAGUUGUCUCGUGGAAUCAUCAAGAGAUCAGGAGGCAACUGCAGGAUCUUGGUGUGUGCUGGUGGCCCCAACACGUUUGGACCAGGAUCAACACCUCAUUCUGUUCAACACCCAAACUAUGCUUACCUGGAGAAGACAGCUAUGAAGUACAUGGAGAGUCUUGGUCAUGAAGCACGGAGACACAGUACCAUCGUUGACAUUCUUUGUGCUGGAACAUGCCCUGUGAGGGUUCCUGUCCUACAGCCACUGGCGAAGUGUUCUGGUGGUGUGCUUUUACUUCAUGAUGAUUUUGGAGAGGCCUUUGGGGUCAACUUGCAGAGGGCGUCAACUAAAGCAACUGGCUCUCAUGGCUUAUUUGAGAUUAGAUGUUCAGAUGGCAUGCUUGUCACUCAAGUAAUUGGCCCUGGCGAAGAGGCUUCUCCUGAUUCUCAUGAAACAUUCAAGCAUGACACUUCAUUUUGUAUCCAGAUGCAUAGUGUUGAGGGGACACAGAGUUUUUCCGUGUCUUUGGAGACAAAGGCGGAUAUCAGGAAUGAUUUCAUUUACUUCCAGUUUGCAGUCCGUUACUCUAAUAUGUAUCAAACAGAAAGCACAAGGGUGAUCACUAGCAGGCUGCAAACGGUUGAUGGUUUGUCUGCAUAUCUUUCAAGUGUGCAAGAAGAUGUAGCUUCAGUAAUCAUUGGUAAGAGAACUGUCUUGCGCGCCAAGACUGCCUCCGAUGCUUUUGACAUGAGGCUCACAAUUGAUGAAAGAAUUAAGGACGUAGCUCUCAAAUUUGGUACCCAGGUUCCAAAAUCAAAGCUUUAUCGGUUCCCAAAAGAGCUGUCAUCACUCCCUGAGUGUUUGUUUCAUUUGAGAAGGGGGCCACUCUUAGGUAGCAUAAUAGGACAUGAAGAUGAAAGAUCAGUUCUGAGGAGUUUGUUCUUGAAUGCAUCAUUUGACCUCUCGCUCCGUAUGCUUGCACCUCGUUGUAUAAUGCAUCGAGAAGGUGGCACAUUUGAGGAGCUGCCAGCAUAUGAUCUGACCAUGCAAUCUAAUUGUGCAGUGGUACUGGAUCAUGGAACAGAUAUUUUCAUCUGGUUGGGUGCUGAACUAGCAACCCAAGAAGGACAAACUGCAGCAGCUUUGGCAGCAUGUCGUACGCUGGCAGAAGAGCUAAGUGAACUCCGUUUUCCAGCUCCCAGGAUACUUUCAUUCAGAGAAGGGAGCUCUCAGGCUAGAUACUUUGUCUCACGCCUGAUCCCAGCUCACAAGGACCCUACUUAUGAGCAGGAGUCGAGAUUUCCUCAGCUACGGACCCUUGCUCCUGAACUGAGGGCCAGGCUAAAGAGCAGCUUCAUCCACUUUGAUGACCCUAGCUUUUGCGAGUGGAUGCGCAGCCUCAAAUUGGUCCCGCCGGAACAAAGCUAA
rnacentral:rRNA from 1 species